rnacentral:rRNA from 1 species
UACGUAGGGUGCAAGCGUUGUCCGGAAUUACUGGGCGUAAAGGGCUCGUAGGCUGCCAACUAAGUCAGACGUGAAAUCCCUCGGCUUAACCGGGGAGCUGCGUCUGAUACUGGAUGGCUUGAAUCCGGGAGAGGGAUGCGGAAUUCCAGGUGUAGCGGUGAAAUGCGUAGAUAUCUGGAGGAACACCGGUGGCGAAGGCGGCAUCCUGGACCGGCAUUGACGCUGAGGAGCGAAAGCCAGGGGAGCAAACAGG